rnacentral:rRNA from 1 species
UACGUAGGGGGCAAGCGUUGUCCGGAUUUACUGGGCGUAAAGAGCGUGUAGGCGGCCACGCAGGUCCGUUGUGAAAACUGAAGGCUCAACCUCCAGACGUCGACGGAAACCGUAUGGCUAGAGUCCGGAAGAGGAGAGUGGAAUUCCUGGUGUAGCGGUGAAAUGCGCAGAUAUCAGGAAGAACACCAGUGGCGAAGGCGGCUCU